rnacentral:rRNA from 1 species
AUGAACGCUAGCGACAGGCUUAACACAUGCAAGUCGAGGGGCAGCGGGGGUAGCAAUACCCGCCGGCGACCGGCGCACGGGUGAGUAACGCGUAUGCAACUUACCUAUCAGAGGGGGAUAACCCGGCGAAAGUCGGACUAAUACCGCAUGAAGCAGGGGCCCCGCAUGGGGAUAUUUGCUAAAGAUUCAUCGCUGAUAGAUAGGCAUGCGUUCCAUUAGGCAGUUGGCGGGGUAACGGCCCACCAAACCGACGAUGGAUAGGGGUUCUGAGAGGAAGGUCCCCCACAUUGGUACUGAGACACGGACCAAACUCCUACGGGAGGCAGCAGUGAGGAAUAUUGGUCAAUGGGCGUAAGCCUGAACCAGCCAAGUCGCGUGAGGGAUGAAGGUUCUAUGGAUCGUAAACCUCUUUUAUAAGGGAAUAAAGUGCGGGACGUGUCCCGUUUUGUAUGUACCUUAUGAAUAAGGAUCGGCUAACUCCGUGCCAGCAGCCGCGGUAAUACGGAGGAUCCGAGCGUUAUCCGGAUUUAUUGGGUUUAAAGGGUGCGUAGGCGGCCUUUUAAGUCAGCGGUGAAAGUCUGUGGCUCAACCAUAGAAUUGCCGUUGAAACUGGGGGGCUUGAGUAUGUUUGAGGCAGGCGGAAUGCGUGGUGUAGCGGUGAAAUGCUUAGAUAUCACGCAGAACCCCGAUUGCGAAGGCAGCCUGCCAAGCCAUGACUGACGCUGAUGCACGAAAGCGUGGGGAUCAAACAGGAUUAGAUACCCUGGUAGUCCACGCAGUAAACGAUGAUCACUAGCUGUUUGCGAUACAGUGUAAGCGGCACAGCGAAAGCGUUAAGUGAUCCACCUGGGGAGUACGCCGGCAACGGUGAAACUCAAAGGAAUUGACGGGGGCCCGCACAAGCGGAGGAACAUGUGGUUUAAUUCGAUGAUACGCGAGGAACCUUACCCGGGUUUGAACGCAUUCGGACCGAGGUGGAAACACCUUUUCUAGCAAUAGCCGUUUGCGAGGUGCUGCAUGGUUGUCGUCAGCUCGUGCCGUGAGGUGUCGGCUUAAGUGCCAUAACGAGCGCAACCCUUGCCACUAGUUACUAACAGGUAAAGCUGAGGACUCUGGUGGGACUGCCAGCGUAAGCUGCGAGGAAGGCGGGGAUGACGUCAAAUCAGCACGGCCCUUACAUCCGGGGCGACACACGUGUUACAAUGGCGUGGACAAAGGGAAGCCACCUGGCGACAGGGAGCGAAUCCCCAAACCACGUCUCAGUUCGGAUCGGAGUCUGCAACCCGACUCCGUGAAGCUGGAUUCGCUAGUAAUCGCGCAUCAGCCAUGGCGCGGUGAAUACGUUCCCGGGCCUUGUACACACCGCCCGUCAAGCCAUGGGAGCCGGGGGUACCUGAAGUCCGUAACCGAAAGGAUCGGCCUAGGGUAAAACUGGUGACUGGGGCU